ACCCGUUGAAGAUAAUGGUCUCUCUCUUGUUUUCAGUGUCGGUCACCUCCAUGUAGCUCAUCAGGAUGCCGUAAGUGCCAGCUGAAGCGUCAUCCAGGAACACCUGACAACACGCGUCUUCGUGAAACACUGAGGCAGUCAACUUUGUCCACACACACGUUCAUAAUGAAGGUAGAAUGAGUCAUCCCACACCUUGAUGCUACUCCACCCUCACGUUGCUCCAUCAUCAGAAGUAACCCGCCGUGAAGACAGGGGCCAGUGUAGAGUGACCUGCCUGGCGGAGAGAACCUUCAGCAGUACACGUGAUUACUGAAGACAACAUGAGGCAGUGAGACUCCUGACCCACGAGGCAGUGCGGACAUGGGGUGUCGACUUUUCCUCUACCAGAAGAAC